CUACGUGCCAGCAGCCGCGGUAAUACGGAGGAUACGAGCGUUAUCCGGAAUUAUUGGGUUUAAAGGGUGCGUAGGUGGCGUAUUAAGUCAGUGGUGAAAAGCUGCAGCUCAACUGUAGUCUUGCCGUUGAAACUGAUAUGCUAGAGAGGAGACGAGGUAUGCGGAAUGUGUGGUGUAGCGGUGAAAUGCAUAGAUAUCACACAGAACGUCGAUUGCGAAGGCAGCGUACCAGGCUCCGUCUGACACUGAAGCACGAAAGCGUGGGGAUCAAACAGGAUUAGAUACCCUGGUAGUCCACGCAGUAAACGAUGAAUACUAGAUUUUUGCGAUAUAGUGUAAGAGUCUAAGCGAAAGCGAUAAGUAUUCCACCUGGGGAGUACGCCGGCAACGGUGAAACUCAAAGGAAUUGACGGGGGCCCGCACAAGCGGAGGAACAUGUGGUUUAAUUCGAUGAUACGCGAGGAACCUUACCCGGGAUUGAACUAACGGUGACGAAUCUAGAGAUAG
rnacentral:rRNA from 1 species